rnacentral:lncRNA from 1 species
AUGAUCUUUUUUCAUCUAAAUUUUUAUUAUUCUAAUUAUAAACGGAAACUCGAAUAUUACAAACAUAGCCAACAAAAAACAAAAUGUUUUAGAAGUCUAAAUCUAAUAUGCUAGAUAACUAUCUUAAUGCUAAAGAUUUUUUUUUUUUUUUGUCAACAAUGCUAAAGAUAUUUAUUCAUAAUAAAUCAUCUUAAACCAUAAAUUAAUUAUUGCUCCAUACAUUUUCUUAACUCAUAAUUGAUUUUAUUUAUCUAAAAGCAGAACACAAUUUUAUAUUUCGAAAUUGAAUAGUACCAAGCCAAGGUCC